UUGUAGCUGGCUGUUUCGUUUGAGCGGCAUGUGCACGCCCUGAUCAUUAUCCAUCUCACACACCUGUGCACAUACUGUAGGUCGGCUUUUGAUUGGAGUGGGGUCUUCAUCGACUCUGCUUUUUAGUUGGGGCCUUCCUAUGUUUUAUCACACACUACUUCAGUUAAAAGAAUGUCCUCUUGCGUCUAACGCAUUUAAAUACAACUUUCAGCAACGGAUCUCUUGGCUCUCGCAUCGAUGAAGAACGCAGCGAAAUGCGAUAAGUAAUGUGAAUUGCAGAAUUCAGUGAAUCAUCGAAUCUUUGAACGCACCUUGCGCUCCUUGGUAUUCCGAGGAGCAUGCCUGUUUGAGUGUCAUGGAAUUCUCAACUCUAUUUGCUUUUGUGAAUAGAGCUUGGACUUGGAGGUUUAUUGCCGGUACCUGUGAUCGGCUCCUCUUGAAUGCAUUAGCUCGAACCUUUUGUGGAUCAGCUUAUCGGUGUGAUAAAAUGUCUACGCCGUUACUGUGAAGCAUAUUAUUCGGCUUCCAAUCGUCCUUCACGGGACAAUAACUUUGACCUUUGACCUCAAAUCAGGUAGGAUUACCCGCUGAACUUAAGCAUAU
rnacentral:rRNA from 1 species